UACAGAGGUCUCAAGCGUUGUUCGGAUUCAUUGGGCGUAAAGGGUGCGUAGGUGGCGGGGUAAGCCAGGUGUGAAAUCUCGGAGCUCAACUCCGAAACUGCACUUGAUACUGCCUUGCUUGAGUACUGGAGAGGAGAUUGGAAUUUACGGUGUAGCAGUGAAAUGCGUAGAUAUCGUAAGGAAGACCAGUGGCGAAGGCGAAUCUCUGGACAGUUACUGACACUGAGGCACGAAGGCCAGGGGAGCAAACGGG
rnacentral:rRNA from 1 species